UCAGCUUUUUAAAAGCCUGGAUCACACGAGCUUGCACCGUUCUUGACUGGAGUAUCCAACUGGUAUGGGAAAUGCAGAGAACUAAAUGGGAGGGCCACGCCAUUUCCCUUUGUGGCAAGGGACUUGGGUAACUCUGCCACUGUAUGUGUCUGCUCUGGGAAGUAGUUUUCCCCUCUGUAAGGGAGCCGUGAGGUGAGCAUCAAGAUGAUCACGUGAAUAUUUUGCCACCUUUCCGUCUUGACCUAUCUGCUGCAAAUUCCCACCAGCAGUAAUAACGACAGAUUCUUUUGAGGCAGGUUUCCCAUUUCGGUGAUCAUACAACCAUAUAGGAGUCUCUGCCAUAAAGGAAGGAGAAAAGCGAACGGACUUCCACGUGUAGGAGCGUCAGAUGGCUGCGCCUGGAGGGACACGGCCAGCCCAAAUAUCCUAAGCCUCUGCUGCUUGCCCUGGAACCCCACUGAGCAGAGCACGGUCAGCCUCAGAAAUGAACUCGAGUCUGGACCUGAGUCUUUUAACGAGCACGGUGGUGCAUAUUGGGCUGAAGGCAAAUGACAUCUGCUCCCUGUAGAAGUCAAGAUGUGGCUGUACCCUGCACUCACGCAGUGACUUAAGGAUAUCUCCUGUUUCUUGCAGUGGUGCAGGGGCUGGGACGGGGGCUGUGGCUGAGUGCUCUCAGCCUGCACCAUGCAAGACCUUCAGCUAAGUAACCUCUAGCUGUAAUGCUGCGGGUAGGAAGAGACAGACAACCCCCUUCUGGGAGACCUGGAGGAAUAGAUGAAAUGUGGGAGAGGAGGCAGACAGGUAUCAGGAGCUGGUCUGGGGUCACUAGAUGGUGCUGUUGAUCUUGAAAUGAGAACAGACGGCUCAGAGGAUGGCAUCUCCUGAAGAUUGCACCCAGAGCACCUGCCCAAAAUUAUGUCUGACUGACAGCAUCUCACCUGCUUCCCAAACACCACAUGAACUUGCUCUUCAUGCUCUGACACUGAAGCCGUAGAAGUGAACUACAUCAAACGUGGGAAGUUCAGAAAUUGGACGAGUGUCUGCUGUGGUCCCACCUCACAGCCGUAGCUCUGCCCUCCCAGAGCCUGCAGGAACAGCGCACGGGGGAGGAUAUUUUAAAGCCUGGACCGCAGAAGAAAUACAUGUGAAAAGUGACCACCAGAACAGGCUACUUUAUGUGGAGUACCACGUAUUAUCUCCCGUCUCCAUGCCUUUGGUUGUGACUGAGCCACGGUUGCCUGUAGACAGCCAGGAGAGCUCAUGCACUGAUGCAGAACAUCAUUUCGGGAUCAGGUUCAUUGGGUUUAACAAGCAGAAGGUUGUUGUGAGCUGGCAGCAGGUAUAGCAGUGGUGCAGGGCAACGAAUGAUAUCCUGCUGGGAGGUGGUCUCACCCUUGGGACUAGCAGGGCACAGAAAGUGUCAAAGUGUGUGAAGUUUUAAGGGCAAUGUUUUCCAGGCAAAAAUUCCCAAAGACAGUGCAGGUGGAGAAGUCAUGCAUAAGGCAUGCCCUGGAGUCAUGGUUCCUGGGGAGGAAACAGCAGCUGGGAGUGCUGGU